GCAAAAUCCGCAUUCGCUCAUAAUGUUUUGUGAGAGGAAAGGCUGUGUUCCGUCUCCAGCAGUUACAAGGCAGGACUGUGAGCGAAGCAGACAGCGCCUGGAGACAGUGAAAUGCACACAAGCCGCCACAGCCAGUCCCAAGUAUUUGUGAGAACGUGAGGAGGCGAAGGGGGAAAGAAGACGCGGCGGAAUAUAACUUUAUUAACAGCCGCGAAUGACGCGUUCAAGCACACCAGUGCGUAUAUUUGCUAUCUUUGGACCUUUCUCUUCAAUGAAAAAUACACAGGACUACAGUACUUAUCCAUUGAGUGCCUCGCCACCAUCUUUAAACAGUGUACGACAGCAGUGCAACAAUCACAGAAAGGUAUUUCACUGUACUUAAGGGAAUCACAGUGACCCACAGUAAACCGCAUUGGGGUCCACAAGGU